AGCAGAGUGGCGCAGCGGAAGCGUGCUGGGCCCAUAACCCAGAGGUCCGUAGAUCGAGACUACGCUCUGCUA
rnacentral:tRNA from 2 species